rnacentral:rRNA from 1 species
UAAGGUUCCAAGCUAGAGAUAACUCCUCUUCCCCAGGAACGAAAAACCCCCUUGUCAAAAGGGCCUACGGAACAAAAUACCAAACACCAUACGCUCUCUUACCGGACGCAGUGCCACCGCUGCCUUUCGGGCCAGUCCCCCGGGAGCCGGGGGACGAGGGCCCAACACACAAGCCGGCCUUGAGGGAUCUCUUGACUCUGGCACAGGUGUGCCCCCCAAUAUAACGGGGCGCACUGUGUGUUUUUAAACACUUUGAUUCACUGAAUUCUGUUUUUCACAUUAUUUGUCUCAUUUGGCUGCGCUCUUCAUCUAUGUGCCAGAACGAGAGGCCCUGUGGUGAGUUUUUAUUGAUUUUUGGAACUCCCACUCACACUGCCAGCUUUUUGAAAAGGGGUUUUGGUGGGGUUUCCGGGGGGGGCCGGGCCCGGGGGGAAACCCCCCCCCGCGGCCCAAAACGCUUGGGGGCCCCCCAAAAACAUAAAGGUAAAUUGUUUUGGGGGGGGAUGUUGUCGGAAAAAGACGCGAUACCCGCUGAACUCUCUGCUAUUUCAAAUCGGAAAGGAUCAUUACCGAGUGCGGGUCUUUAUGGCCACCUCCCACCCGUGACUAUGUACCUUGUUGCUUGGCGGGCCGUGGCGUUUGCUGGCCGCGGGGGGCGACUGCCUUGGGCCCGUUCCCCCCAAAAACCCAAAAAAGAGUUGGGAAAAAAAGUGGGAGACCGAGGGGGUCUUUCUGUCGCCUUUAAAAAUUUUAACGGGGAAAUUUUUGGUUCGCGCCUCCUUAAAAAAAAAGCCG